rnacentral:rRNA from 1 species
GACGAACGCUGGCGGCGUGCUUAGCACAUGCAAGUCGAACGGAAAGGCCCCUUUGGGGGUACUCGAGUGGCGAACGGGUGAGUAACACGUGAGUAACCUGCCCUUGACUUCGGGAUAACUUCAGGAAACUGGGGCUAAUACCGGAUAGGAAUCCUUGCUGCAUGGUGGGGGUUGGAAAGCUUCGGCGGUUUUGGAUGGACUCGCGGCUUAUCAGCUUGUUGGUGGGGUAGUGGCUUACCAAGGCUUUGACGGGUAGCCGGCCUGAGAGGGCGACCGGCCACAUUGGGACUGAGAUACGGCCCAGACUCCUACGGGAGGCAGCAGUGGGGAAUAUUGCACAAUGGGCGGAAGCCUGAUGCAGCAACGCCGCGUGCGGGAUGACGGCCUUCGGGUUGUAAACCGCUUUCAGCAGGGGCGAAGCUUGUGGUGACGGUACCUGCAGAAGAAGCACCGGCUAACUACGUG